CAGUGGGAUGCACACUGGGCAACGAACCCCACUGUUGCCCCCCUCGGGCCCUCUGGGCCGGCAACAGCUUUGGCACCCAACGUGGGGCUUGAGGCUGAAAUUUAGCCUUGCCCGGAUCCCUCCUGGCGGCCGACGGAUUGCAACGAUGACCGCUGCCCAGCGCGCACCGGUGACUUCUUCGGGGGCCUCGGCGGAGAUGUGGUUUGAUCGACCCCGGAGGGCACAACGGUGCAACGCACACAAACAGUGGAGAAGCAGUUGCAGGCGACGGUGAGGAACCGGUCCCUUGGAUAAGAUACACCAAAGAUUCACAGCCUCUUCUGCUGGAUACCCCAGUCCACUCCUUGCAGCCAGGCGAUUUUGUACUCGUUCGGACCUGGAAGGACGAGCCUCUCCAAGAGAAGUGGAAGGGACCCCACACCAUCCUGCUUGUUUCCCACACGGCAGCAAAGGUCGAAGGGCACAAAAACUGGAUUCAUCACUCUCGACUGAAUGCAGUACCCACUCCUAAACAGUGGACUGUCCAACCUGCCGAGAAAGCUUCUAGCGACGAUCUGGGACUUAAACUGUUAUUCAAAAGACAGUAAGGGUUGCUGGGAAUGCCUGGUGAUCUCUCUGAACAGCCACAGCGCACUCCCCACGAGAACCCUGAGCAUUGGUUCUAUCUGUUCACAGAAGGUGAUUCAUAGAUGACCAAACUUCCAUCCUAGGAAAUAUUUACAAACACAACUAUGCAAUAUAUUCAUAAAUACAGUGCUAUGCAGUGCAAAAUGUGACAGCCAUGCAGAAUACACCACUGAUAUUUGCUGUCUCUCCCAGAAUUUCCUUUGCUUACGUGCAGGAAGUCAAUGAUAUCAACCUGCAUGACAUACGAGAAGGACUUAGUUGUCCUGUGAUGAAAGAUUUUUUUUGCAGGAUUGUCAAGUCCUCCAGAAUUUUACAGUGACAGCAUUAUAGUUUCGUUAUGUAUGUGCCGUAACUUAUUUAUACUGUCCUGCAUUUAGAGUUCUUCCAAAUGCUUCUGGUUUGAUGCACAAUUAUUUAAUAAUGGUUACUGAUAUAACAAACAGAUAUGCUGAUCUUGACAAGAGGCAGAAAAAAAAGACGUAUAGUACAAAGAUAUACAAACGGGGAUUUUGUUCCUGUACCAAAGAGACCUAAGUUAGGGACCUUUGUCCUUGGAUUUAUUAGUUUUCAGCAUCAUUCUUGUUUUAAUAUUCUUUUAGACUCAAAUUCAAAGGAGCAGGAAUUUGAUAAACGAAAUGUGAAAUACUGUAAGCUACACUAAAGGAUACCGUUGAGGUCAGACAAGCACAUUCACAUUGUAUUUCUGCUUUUGUCUAGAUUGUUGUCUGGAAUGUGAAUGAUUUUUUUAAACUUCUUUCAAGAUAAAAACAUGAGUGGAUCUUAAUUUUUAAACCAAAGAGGUUUAUUAUUAAUGUAACUGGAUUUGUCUAAAGAACUGCUCCUUCAAAUCUGCCUUCAUAAUCAGAUGAGUCAUUUGUUUACUUCAUUUCUUUUUCAAACCUGCAAGGGGGUUUCCAAGCUGUCCCUUUUUCAGCAGAUGGAAUACUCGUAUGAUUCCAUCCCCAUAGCAACCACAGCUGCACCAGGCAACCAGUGCUCUGUUGAUUUCCACACCACACGUGAGGUCACUGGAGCCUGCAAAAUCUUCUUUAUACCGACCGGUGUCCUCUUUGAUUUAAUGCAGUUUAACAUUUGAUUUGACUCAUAUCCCAGAAAAUAUUGCUAAUACUGAAAAAUAAAAUAUAACACUCAUCUUAAAAAUAUGGCUGCAUAUGUAAUCCUGGGAAGUAUAAGGAAGUAUAAUUAAAAAAAAAAAAGAAAACACUAAGAAAUUUAUAGCGAAUAAUUAUUAAUAAUAAAUAUAGUAACAAUUAUAUUGAACUUUUCAUUUACAAAGCACAACUUAUAAACAGUAUUUAAAGGAACAAAUUAUGCAACAUUUUAUUUCUGUCCUAUUCAAAACUAUUAGAUGCAUCACAUUACCUUGUUUCAAAUGAAAUAAAAUAAAUAUCUGAUGAUCAUUAUGUAAAUAUACAGUACUGCUGUUCCGCUAAACUAAUUUUUAAACGUAUUUUUAUUUUUCUGCAGAAAGUAGCUAGUCUUAAAAACAGAAUAUGAACCAGAACACUAAAGAUUCUUCUCAUUGGCAAAGAAAACAGUGGUAUGUGUUUUUUGGGGUUUUGUUUGUUUAGAUCAGUUGUAUUUUCCUUGCAUAAACAUCAAAUUGCAGCCUGCAACACCUUUCUAUGGUUUUAUUUAAUAUUGUUGUAACAUGUCAGUUACCAUUUAUAUUAAAAAUGAACCAUUAUC